rnacentral:lncRNA from 1 species
CUAUUUUCUAGAUGUGGACAAUAUAAAAGCAAACAAAAAAACUGGCCACCAAAUAAGAUAAAAGGAAGGCAGUUUACUUCUAUUUAGAACAAUCUACAGUUAACAGAGAGCAAUAGAUGGUUUUUAAUCUAAAUCCACUAGGUGUAAGUAAGUGCAUUCAUUGUUAUUAUACCAAAUGAUAUUUUACUUUCUACCAGGAAACAAGUACUUCAGUUUAUGGUAAUUACCCAGGCCGGAUCUCCACAAAAAUGUCAUUUAAAAUUUCUUCCCUCUGUCUAUUAUUGUUAUGUCCGGCUAUAAACAAACAAAAUCUAUCUGAAUUAUCCUGACGUCAGAAAAUUAAGUAGUUUUGCUACUGUCGUAUCGUAGGAAAAGUUUUUUUUCCCUUUUAAAUUAAAAUGUUUAUUUUAGAAAAUCACGCAACACUACAGUAAGGAAUAAUUCAUUCAAAGUCCUAUCUGUAUGUAUAUCGCAAGAAACCGACAAUGGUUUGGAGUUCGAAGUCCCUUCUUUUCUUUCACUCUGCAUAAAAAUGAAUACGUUUGUAAAACUAUAAGCUUCUAGAUAAAGUAAAAGCGUUGCGUGUUUUAAAUUAUUUGUUUUACUGAAUAAAUGAAAACUAAUAUUUUUAAUACACUAAUAGAAAUAGUUAAAUAGCAUAAAGGAAGCGAUCUUUGUAUUUGAUGUAUCACUAUUACAGGCGUUGUCUGUCUGUACUAGACAGGCAUUUCUUUUUGAAUUCUUGACGCCGUGCCGCAGCCAACUUGUUUGUCAUAGGAGAUAUUUUUGGUUGAAUUAAGAAUAUUCUCUUCUGUGUUGUUAAUUAGUCUUAUAUUUGACGUCAUAAAAAAUACUAAUUGGAUAAUUUCCAUUAUUUUUACUUCACGAAGAGCUCGCUUGACUUGUCAAAAUCGAUGCCAAAUUCCCCUAUAAUCACACCCUCUCAUCUUAAUGUAGAAUAACACAAAAACGAACAAGAUCAGUUUCAAAAUAUAUAAGUGUUAAUUACACCAAUAAAUAAAUAAAUAAAUAAUGAAAGAUAACCCGCCCAAUAAAAAUUAAAAUGUUUCCGUGACCACCAAACUAACUGCUGGGUUUGCCGGCGUAUUAGAAAACGUUUAGUAUAUAUUUUUUUUUCGGUUUUUAAAUGCUUAAGUUCGUCAAGCACAAUAAUUCUCAUUUAUAAAAUACUGAAAACGAGCCAACAUAUCAGUCAGUACACAUAAACCACAUCUGAUGUAUUUUCACAUUAUUUAAUUGGUAUUACCUCUUAAGAAAUAUUUAUACAUUAUCUGAAUAUAUAAUAUUCCAAAAAGAAAAAGAAGAGGAAUGGUAUUAUGAACGAACUUUCAUCCACAUCUCAGUUAUUUGCAAUAAAAGGAUGACAAACAAACCAUAGCAGCAGUGCACUACCCAGGUGGCCGAUCGUGGUAAUACGAAAUAUCACAUCUUGUAUGGCAAUUCUCAUGACCAAAAUAUAAACAUUAGAGCGAAUGAGAAAGAAAACAAAUUGAAAUACGGUAUUCCUAUAUCAUUAUUUAUUAAUGAUAAAUUUUCUACUGAGUUCAAACCCAUAGCUGAAAACUAAAUAUGGCACUGCCAUAACAUUAAAUUUAAGCUAAAUUUCGUAGCACAUGCGAAGACGCAUAGUAAUUGGUAUUGGUUCACCGCAAACCUAGAAAAUGGUAAGGAUUUGGAGUAAACAAUGAAAGCAGCUUGAUAUAGUAAACAUUGUCUUCGUAAGGAAUUGUAGAGUGAACUGAACUAGAAGAAUUAAAAAUAUGGGUGUUAAACCCGAAAUUUUCAGUUUUUUUCAGUAACCACAAUAAUAAUUAUGCAUUUUUCUAGGCUUACAGAAAUAUCAAUGAUUUUACAGGGCUAACAUCAUGGUGUUCCUGAAGUAUGAGCAGUAAUAAUCUCUAUAAGAUUUAGAUCAAAAGUAGCACAGAAAGUUACCCCUGACCCUGGGGGUAAUCAUGAUGAUGAUGAUGAUAAUCAUCAUCAUUUAACUUCUGUUUUCCAUGCCAGCACAGGUUGUAUGGUUUGACAGGAGUUGGCAAGGCUGAGAGCUGCACUAAAUUUCAUUGUCUAUUUUGGCAUGGUUUCUACAGCUAUAUGCCUUUCCUAAUGCCAACCGCUUUACAGAGUGUACCGGAUGCUUUUUACAUGGCACCAGCACUGACAGAGACACCAAGUAUCUUGCAAGAGAAAAAAAAAGAAAAAAAAAUAGCUAACAGGUGGGUAAUAGUAUUGAAAAAGUGUGACUUUGUGCCAGUUGAGAAAUUAAAGGUAUAGCAGGACAGAGUUAGGUGUCUUGUUGUAGAGUAGGUACAUGGGUACCCCAGUUGGAAAAGAAAGGAGAGUGAGUUAGUAGGAUAAAAGGAACGAUAGUGAGAAAGAUGAUGACAAAGAAGUGUCGGGACAUGCCCUUUAGGGACAUUGGGGGGUAAUGAGAGUAGGUGAGGUGAUACAGGAGUUUGGACAGGAUGAGUGGGCAGGAAUGAGGUUAGGUAUGGGUGAUGGAGUUGUAGAUAUGUGAGGGUAUUAUUAGAGUAUGAAAUGUAGAUGGAAAAGGUUGAUGGAACAAAGAAGAUCGAGGUAAGAAUAAAGUAGAACCCUCUCGUGGAUAAGGUGGUUUUAGGAUAUUAAUUCCAUGAUGGACAGUUCUUAAGUAUGGCAAACUGCCAGACAUCCCAGUUCUUUGUCAUCUUAUUUGUAACAUUUAGCAUCUUGGGAUUGGCCUUCAAUGCUUCAUCCCAUGUCUUCCUCGGUUUCUCCUUCCACAAGUUCCAUCCACUUGAAGUGAUCAGCACUUCUGUGUGCAACUGUCCACAUCCAUAUGCAUCACAUGACCAAACCAGCACAGUUUUCUCUCUUUUACACUGCAUCUAAUUCCUCUUAUGCUUAACUUUUCUCUCAAUACACUGGCACUCUGUUGCACAUGUACACUAACAUUGUACAGCCAGCAAAGCAUACCAGCUUCAUUCCUCUCUAUUUCAUGUCCUUUGCAUUUAGGGUUCAUGUAGCAUGUAAAUGCCUUAAAAAUCACUUAAAUGGCAUUAUUAAAGACUUUUCUCUUUUAUUGUUGAAUAGGAUAAUCUUUUCAAGUUAUUCCACUAGCAUUGUAAAAAAGAAUGUGUUUUUGUACGUAUAUAUUUCCAAAUAUGUUUACAACACACAUACACAUUAAUGUUUGGUUUUAUGUCAAGUUAUAAAAUCAAUAUAGGAUUAAAUUGAAGAAUUACUCAAUACUUUUUAGUAAAGUAGAUGCUUAUUUAGCUUUUAUGAGAAGAGGGCUGACAGUGACUUCGAAAUUAUGGCCUAUUAGCUUUUAUCUAACUGCACUAUGCUUGUGUUACUCUUGAGUAAGUUGUUUUUCUAAGGUAAGUGGAGCUAUGUGAAAUGAGAAUUAGGCUUCGUGUAUGUAGGUCUGGGAUGAAAAUGUUUAGGAAGUGGGAUAGAAGAGGAUAGGAGGAAAGUAUGUUUGUAAGAUGUAGGUUGAUAGAAAGUUAUUGAUGGAAGAUUUUGUUUGGUUUGAAGCGGGGGUUGUGUUAUUGUUUAGUAGAAGUCAAGCAUUGAAAUAACUUUGUAGAUAUGUGUUAGAUUCAGGUCAUGAGAUUCUUUGUAUAGAAAGCUGGUUUGUGUUUUGUUUUUCAGGAUUUGUUAAAAUAGUAUUUGUAAAUGAAUUAGCUGCUCACCCAGCUUAUGUGGACCUGAGGUGGGUUUGCUGUCGAUGUUAUUUGAUUUCUACUCAGAAAUAUUGACUUUGUUUUGUAAAGGUAAAAAUUGAAAGACUAGGUUGCUAUAACAUUUCAUAUGGUUACAUUACUUACUUCUGAAUAUUCAAAUUUGAUAAGCGUAAGCAACAGCACUCUUAUGUAAUAUAUUUUUAUGUUGACACUAGAUUAGAGAUGAUAGACAAUUAAAAGUAUCUCCAAAACCUUCCUCAGUUUUUCAGUGCUACACCUGUUUAUUAUUGUGACCUGUUCCAGCCUGUUGAAUAUUCUUAUAACUAGGUGAACUGAUCUAGAGUUUAGUAUCUUGUCUAUAGAUGUGGUAAAGCAGUGGUGACAAUGUAAUUAAUUCCUCAGAUGGUUGCCCGGUAGCCCAGUUAACUUGAUCAUCCAUGACUCUAUCAUAUAUUUUGAUUGAAAGCAACAUCUAUAUUUUGUUCUCACUUGUUGGAAUAGUAAACCUAUAUUUUCUGCCUCUUUCUAACAGUUCUGUCUUUAGCAAAAUCUCUUUAGUAAUCUUUGUGUUGAUAUUUUAUUGUGCUUAUAUCUUGUCCUGUCUUUAUUUCAGAGUAUCUGGUGCAUUGUGAUGGGAAUUUCUCACCCAAGUUGUAGCAACAAAUUUAUGCCAUCUUCAAGACUAAAGAACAAUGUUACCAAAUAUAGGUAUAUGCACCCUGUUUCCAUAGCCUUGGUUAAAUUACUGUGAAAUAUUUC